rnacentral:rRNA from 1 species
UACGGAGGGUGCAAGCGUUAUCCGGAUUUACUGGGUUUAAAGGGUGCGUAGGUGGACAUUUAAGUCAGCGGUGAAAUCUCCGGGCUUAACUCGGAAAUUGCCAUUGAUACUAUUUGCCUUGAAUUAUCUGGAGGUGAGCGGAAUAUGUCAUGUAGCGGUGAAAUGCUUAGAUAUGACAUAGAACACCAAUUGCGAAGGCAGCUUACUACGGAUGUAUUGACACUGAGGCACGAAAGCGUGGGGAUCAAACAGG